rnacentral:lncRNA from 1 species
CCGCUAACAGCUUCGCUUUCCUCCACUGUCCCUGUCUCUUUACAGGGCUCGGACCAGUGGUACUUGACAACGUAUCAACCAGUAGUCCUAUAGCCAAAGAUUCGAUUCGAUAGCAGCAUUGGUGACAUUUUAAGUUAGCUGUGGAGUGAGCUUAGUUUACGGCAUGUUUUAUUUUUUACCUCCGUUACAACAGCUGACUGUCUGUUUCUGUCUGCGCAAUGCAAGAGGGCCAGUGGUGUAAAGUACUUCAGUAAAAAAAUACUUUAAAGUACUACUUAAGUCGGGUUUUUUUGGUGGUAUCUGUACUUUACUUUACUAUUUAUAUUUCUGGAAACUUUUACUUCACUACAUUCCUAAUGAAAAUAAUGUACUUUUUACUCCAUACAUUUUCCCUGACAUCCAAAGGUAUUCGUUACAUUUUGACAGGAAAAUGGUCCAAUUUACACACUUAUCAAGAGAACAUCCCUGGUCAUCUUCACUGCCUCUGAUCUGGCGGACUCACUAAACACAAAUGCUUCGUUUGUAAAUGAUGUCUGAGUGUUGGAGUGUGCCCCUGGCUAUCUGUAAAUGAUGUCUGAGUGAUGGAGUGUGCCCCUGGCUAUCUGUAAAUGAUGUCUGAGUGAUGGAGCGUACUCCUGGCUAUCUGUAAAUGAUGUCUGAGUGUUGGAGUGUGCCCCUGGCUAUCUGUAAAUGAUGUCUAAGUGAUGGAGCGUACCCCUGGCUAUCUGUAAAUUAUGUCUGAGUGAUGGAGCGUACCCCUGUCUAUCUGUAAAUUAUGUCUGAGUGUUGGAGUGUUCCCCUGGCUAUCUGUAAAUGAUGUCUGAGUGUUGGAGUGUUCCCCUGGCUAUCUGUAAAUGAUAUCUGAGUGUUGGAGUGUUCCCCUGGCUGUCUGUAAAUUAUGUCUGAGUGUUGGAGUGUUCCCCUGGCUAUCUGUAAAUGAUGUCUGAGUGAUGGAGCGUACCCCUGGCUAUCUGUAAAUGAUGUCUGAGUGUUGGAGUGUACCCCUGGCUAUCUGUAAAUGAUGUCUGAGUGAUGGAGUGUUCCCCUGGCUAUCUGUAAAUGAUGUCUGAGUGUUGGAGUGUUCCCCUGGCUAUCUGUAAAUGAUGUCUGAGUGAUGGAGUGUUCCCCUGGCUAUCUGUAAAUUAUGUCUGAGUGAUGGAGUGUUCCCCUGGCUAUCUGUAAAUGAUGUCUGAGUGUUGGAGUGUUCCCCUGGCUAUCUAUAAAUGAUGUCUGAGUGAUGGAGCGUACCCCUGGCUAUCCGUCUCAAAAAAUAAUAAUAAUUGUGCCGUCUGGUUUGCUUAAUAUAAGGAAUUUGAAAUGGUUAACACUUUUACUUUUACUUUUGAUACUUAAGUAUAUUUAAAACCAAAUACUUUUAGUCUUUAGUCUAAAGUAGUAUUUUACUGGGUGACUUUUACUUGAGUAAUUUUCUAUUAAGGUAUCUUUACUUUUCCUCAAGUAUGACAAUUUAGUAAUUUUUGCACUACUGAAGAGGACUGCAGUGAUUUUACCUAAACAGCCUGAGAUUACAAGAUGGCUGGUCUUUAAUCAUAACAUAGUACUUCUAUCCAGUCUUUACAGUGAGAGGAGACACUUCUUCUCCAGUCUUUACAGUGAGAGCAGACACUUCUAUCCAGUCUUUACAGUGAGAGGAGACACUUCUUCUCCAUCUUUACAGUGAAAGCAGACACUUCUAUCCAGUCUUUACAGUGAGAGGAGACACUUCUUCUCCAGUCUUUACAGUGAGAACAGACACUUCUAUCCAGUCUUUACAGUGAGAGCAGACACUUCUUCUCCAGUCUUUACAGUGAGAGCAGACACUUCUUCUCCAGUCUUUACAGUGAGAGCAGACACUUCUAUCCAGUCUUUACAGUGAGAGGAUACACUUCUAUCCAGUCUUUACAGUGAGAGGAGACACUUCUAUCCAGUCUUUACAGUGAGAGGAGACACUUCUUCUCCAGUCUUUACAGUGAGAGGAGACACUUCUAUCCAGUCUUUACAGUGAGAGCAGACAUUUUUAGCAUGUGUAUAUGAUAUCUGCAGGAACUGAACCGACAACUUUGGUGUGUCUACUACCACGCUCUUGCCAACAGAGCCACACAGGACCAUAACCUUGUAAAAUAUAACAGAACUGAGUCCAAUGAGUCCAGCACUAAAAGCCAGUGUCAGUUUAUGCCAAGCUGAGCAUAAGUGCAGGACUCGGCUAUUGAUCACAGUGUCUAUGGAGAUGUACUACAGUAGCCUACUGGUGGGACAUUCAUUAGGGCACACUGUUGCAAAACGUUUUGCAUGGGAAAACAAGCGUUUCUUAUUGUCCCAGUUUCAGGUGGUCUAUCCCAGUUUCAGGUGAUCUAUUCCAGUUUCAGGUAGUCUAUCCCACUUUCAGGUAGUCUAUCCAGUUCAGGUGGUCUAUCCCCGUUUCAGGUAGUCUAUCCCAGUUUCAGGUGGUCUAUCCCAGUUUCAGGUGGUCUAUUCCAGUUUCAGGUGGUCUAUUCCAGUUCAGGUAGUCUAUCCCAGUUCAGGUGGUCUAUUCCAGUUUCAGGUAGUCUAUCCCAGUUUCAGGUGGUCUAUUCCAGUUUCAGGUGGUCUAUUCCAGUUCAGGUAGUCUAUCCCAGUUCAGGUGGUCUAUCCCAGUUCAGGUGGUCUAUCCCAGUUCAGGUAGUCUAUCCCAGUUCAGGUGGUCUAUCCCAGUUCAGGUGGUCUAUCCCAGUUCAGGUGGUCUAUCCCAGUUUCAGGUACUGUAAAUUCCGGACUUUAAGCCGCAACUUUUUUCCCAGGCUUUGAACCUCGCGGCUUAAACAAUGACUCGGCUAAUAUAUGGAUUUUUCCCGCUUUCAAUUUUUUUUUUCCAAAAAAACACAUUCUGUGACGUGCUCAGUUUUUUGGCGGCAUGAAGCUUUCAUUAGACCAUUGAAAUUGCCGAACAGGUUAAGGUCAAACAACUUUUUUGUUUACUGUCCAGAUUAAAUCGAGCGCUCUCAAACUUCCCAUCAUUCUGAUUACGGUAGUAAUUUUGUCACCCUCAUCAUGGCAAAGACACGGAGAAGUGCAAGUUGAAGGCGAUUGAUGUGGCUGUUGGAAAAGGAAAUAGAGCUGCUGCAUGGGAGCUUGGUCUUAAUGAGUCGAUGAUAAGACGUUGGAAACAGCAGCGUGAGGAAUUGACUCAGUGCAAAAAGUCAACUAAAGCUUACUGCUAUUUUUUUAUUUUUUGUUACAAGCCGUGUUUCGUUAAAGCCUAUUUAUUUUUGUUACAAGCCGUGUUUCGUUAAAGCCUAUUUAUUUUUGUUACAAGCCGUGUUUCGUUAAAGCCUGUGUAAAGUUCAUUUGUUUCAAUGUACCGGUAGGCACCUGCGGCUUAUAGACAUGUGCGGCUCAUUUAUGUUCAAAAUAAUAUAUAUUUUUUUAAUUCAGUGGGUGUGGCUUAUAUUCAGGUGUGCUUAAUAGUCCGGAAAUUACGGUAGUCUAUCCCAGUUCAGGUAGUCUAUCCCAGUUCAGGUAGUCUAUCCAGUUCAGGUGGUCUAUCCCAGUUUCAGGUGGUCUAUUCCAGUUCAUGUGGUCUAUUCCAGUUCAGGUAGUCUAUCCAGUUCAGGUAGUCUAUCCAGAUCAGGUGGUCUAUCCCAGUUCAGGUAGUCUAUCCCAGUUCAGGUGGUCUAUCCCAGUUCAGGUGGUCUAUCCCAGUUUCAGGUAGUCUAUCCCAGUUCAGGUAGUCUAUCCAGUUCAGGUGGUCUAUCCCAGUUCAGGUAGUCUAUCCCAGUUCAGGUAGUCUAUCCCAGUUUCAGGUGGUCUAUCCCAGUUCAGGUGGUCUAUCCCAGUUUCAGGUGGUAUAUCCCAGUUUCAGGUGGUGUAUUCCAGUUCAGGUGGUCUAUCCCAGUUUCAGGUGGUCUAUCCCAGUUUCAGGUGGUCUAUCCCAGUUCAGGUGGUCUAUCCCAGUUUCAGGUGGUCUAUCCCAGUUUCAGGUGGUCUAUCCCAGUUCAGGUGGUCUAUUCCAGUUCAGGUAGUAUAUCCCAGUUUCAAGUAGUCUAUCCCAGUUUCAGGUGGUCUAUCCCAGUUCAGGUAGUCUAUCCCAGUUCAGGUGGUAUAUCCCAGUUUCAGGUGGUCUAUCCCAGUUUCAGGUGGUCUAUCCCAGUUCAGGUGGUCUAUUCCAGUUCAGGUAGUCUAUCCCAGUUCAGGUAGUCUAUCCCAGUUCAGGUGGUCUAUCCCAGUUCAGGUGGUCUAUCCCAGUUCAGGUAGUCUAUCCCAGUUCAGGUGGUCUAUCCCAGUUCAGGUAGUCUAUCCCAGUUCUGGUGGUCUAUCCCAGUUCAGGUGGUCUAUCCCAGUUUCAGGUGGUCUAUUCCAGUUCAGGUGGUCUAUUCCAGUUCAGGUAGUCUAUCCAGUUCAGGUAGUCUAUCCAGAUCAGGUGGUCUAUCCCAGUUCAGGUAGUCUAUCCCAGUUCAGGCUGAUUUCUUUUUUUUGGUGCUUAAAGGAAUCUGACCUGAUCACUGAGUCUCGACCAGGGAUCUUCAAAUCCCAGCCUGGAGUUCCAGAGUACUGCUGGGUUUUUCUGCUCUACC